rnacentral:rRNA from 1 species
GAUUAACGCUAGCGGCAGGCAUAAUACAUGCAAGUUGAACGAGAUAAGUUUUAGCAAUAGAACCUUGAAAGUGGCGCACGGGUGCGUAACACGUAUGCAACCUACCUUUUACUGGGGAAUAGCCUCUCGAAAGAGAGAUUAAUACCCCAUAAUAUAUUGAUAAGGCAUCUUAUUAAUAUUAAAGUUACGGCGGUAAAAGAUGGGCAUGCGGCUGAUUAGGUAGUUGGUGGGGUAAUGGCUCACCAAGCCGACGAUCAGUAGGGGGUCUGAGAGGAUGUCCCCCCACACUGGUACUGAGACACGGACCAGACUCCUACGGGAGGCAGCAGUAGGGAAUAUUGGACAAUGGGCGCAAGCCUGAUCCAGCCACGCCGCGUGCAGGAUGAAGGCCCUAUGGGCCGUAAACUGCUUUUGUACGGGAAGAAACCUCACUACGUGUAGUGAGUUGACGGUACCGUGAGAAUAAGGAUCGGCUAACUUCGUGCCAGCCGCCGCAGUAA